rnacentral:rRNA from 1 species
UACGAAGGGGGCUAGCGUUGCUCGGAAUCACUGGGCGUAAAGCGCACGUAGGCGGCUUUCUAAGUCAGGGGUGAAAUCCUGGAGCUCAACUCCAGAACUGCCUUUGGUACUGGAGAGCUUGAGUCCGGAAGAGGUGAGUGGAACUCCGAGUGUAGAGGUGAAAUUCGUAGAUAUUCGGAAGAACACCCGUGGCGAAGGCGGCUCUCUGGGACGGUACUGACGCUGAGACGCGAAAGCGUGGGGAGCGAACAGG